rnacentral:rRNA from 1 species
CCUACGGGAGGCAGCAGUAGGGAAUCUUCCACAAUGGGCGAAAGCCUGAUGGAGCAACGCCGCGUGGGUGAAGAAGGUCUUCGGAUCGUAAAACCCUGUUGUUAGAGAAGAAAGUGCGUGAGAGUAACUGUUCACGUUUCGACGGUAUCUAACCAGAAAGCCACGGCUAACUACGUGCCAGCAGCCGCUGUAAUACGUAGGUGGCAAGCGUUAUCCGGAUUUAUUGGGCGUAAAGGGAACGCAGGCGGUCUUUUAAGUCUGAUGUGAAAGCCUUCGGCUUAACCGGAGUAGUGCAUUGGAGACUGGGAGACUUGAGUGCAGAAGAGGAGAGUGGAACUCCAGGUGUAGCGGUGAAAUGCUUAGAUAUAUGGAAGAACACCAGUGGCGAAGGCGGCUCUCUGGUCUGUAACUGACGCUGAGGUUCGAAAGCGUGGGUAGCAAACAGGAUUAGAUACCCCAGUAGUC